AGUCGUAACAAGGUAACCGUAGGUGAACCUGCGGUUGGAUCAUUACAAAAUCUUGAUGCGCAGCCUUUAUUGGCUGCGUGUUAGAUCAACCACCUUUGUGAACGUUUUCCUGCAUUUUGGCAGCCCUCCAGUUUUAAAACCAUUGGAUUGGGUUAUAAGUUCGCAGCAAUGCGUCUUUUGCCUCUGGGCUGCCAGCCCUCUGGGUUUAAACGCCUUUUUUUUUAUAGUUUCGUUAUGUAUGUUUUGUACCAAUGAUGAUUCUGAAAACGAGUCGUUAUUUAUAUAAAUACAAUUAUAUGAAAAAACAACUUUUGACAACGGAUCUCUUGGCUCUU
rnacentral:misc_RNA from 1 species